AUGCGACACGCUUGCUCCGCUGCCCAUGGCCGCUCGUUCCGCACCUCGCCGCGUGUACUCCUCCCCUCCUCUCCAAAAACCCCACCGAGAAAUUUCAAACUCCGCUGCAGCACCACGUCUAGCUCGCGAACCCCGAGCGAAGCGGCCAUGGCGAUGGCGGCCUCCUCCGCGCUGCAGCCCGAGCUCUGCCUCCUCCCCCACGCCGGGCCCCGCCGCCGCAUGCUCCCGCCGCGCGCUCCGCAUCUGCUUGUCCUCCCGCACCGGCGCCGCGGGGCCGUGAGGCGGUUCUCCUCCAGGGACGGCGGGGGCGGGGGCGGGGGAGGGCCCGCGGGCGCUGUGGAGAAGCGCUCCGUGGUCCCGGAGGUGGCGGCGGAGAGGAAGGGAGGAGGGGAUGCGCACGCGGAGGAGUUUGAGGAGGAGGCGGUGGACGGGGCGCUGGAGCUGCGGUGGCCGCCCUGGGAGGGGCUGCCCGAGCGCUACAGGCUCAUCGGCGCCACCUCCCUCGCCUUCGUCAUCUGCAACAUGGACAAGGUUAACUUGAGUGUUGCGAUUAUUCCAAUGUCACAUCAGUAUGGUUGGAGCUCAUCGACUGCUGGCCUAGUUCAAUCAUCAUUCUUUUGGGGCUAUGCUUUGAGUCAACUACCUGGGGGCUGGCUGGCAAAAUUGAUUGGUGGAAGGACAGUGCUUAAGGCCGGUGUUCUUGUGUGGUCUUUGGCCACAGCUGUUAUUCCUGUUGUAGCAGGAUUCAUGCCAGGACUUGUGCUAUCAAGGAUUCUGGUAGGCAUUGGAGAAGGAGUCUCACCAUCAGCAGCUACAGAUUUAAUUGCACGGACCAUUCCUCUUCAAGAAAGAUCAAGAGCGGUUUCUGUUGUUUUUGGUGGUUUAGCCUUUGGAAGUGUCUUAGGACUUCUGUUCGCCCCUCCCAUCAUUCAGAACCUUGGCUGGGAAUCUGUCUUUUACAUAUUUGGUCUUCUUGGUAUUAUAUGGUGUCUAGUGUUUGAAUCUGUACAAGAACUACAGCCAGGUGACAAUGAAGACAUAUUAAAUCUUGAAAAUAGUUCUGCUGGAUCUAAUGGUCAUGUCCCAUCAUCUGUGCCUUCAAAGUCAUCGGCCUCAUCACUUGAAGAGAUGACAGACUCGCUAAAGGAUGUGCCUUGGGGGGAAUUCUUUAAAAGCAAGGCAGUGUGGGCAAUGAUAUACACUCACUUUUGUGGAAGCUGGGGCCACUAUACUUGCUUGUCUUGGCUUCCAACAUUCUUUAGUGAGGAGCUAAACUUGAACUUGACAGACGCUGCAUGGGUGUCAAUUCUUCCUCCUUUGGGCUCGAUGGUUAUUACAUCUAUUGCAGCACCUUUUGCAGACAACUUGAUAUCAAGUGGAGUUGACACCACAAAGGUACGGAAAAUAUGUCAAGCAAUUGCGUUUCUGUCACCUGCAGCUUUUAUGAUGCUUUCCUCUGUCGAUCUUGGACUCCCUCCUUGGGUAGUUGUUGCUUUCCUUACGGGUGGUAUAUCACUCUCCAACUUCGCAUUAUCAGGUCUUUAUUGCACCCAUCAAGAUAUAUCACGUGAAUAUGCAAGCAUUCUCCUGGGAAUCACAAACACCGUAGGGGCCGUGCCUGGAAUCGUUGGUGUCGCGCUAGUCGGCUAUCUUGUCGACACAACUCAUUCUUGGAGUAUGUCGCUCUUUGCUCCUUCGAUCUUCUUCUACUUAACAGGCACUGCCGUCUGGUUGACAUUUGCCAGCAGCAAGCCCCAGGAUUUCAACAAGUUGGCAUCGGAGUCGUUAGCAGAGAGUAAUCAGUAG
rnacentral:rRNA from 1 species